rnacentral:rRNA from 1 species
UGGGGAAUUUUCCGCAAUGGGUGAGAGCCUGACGGAGCAACGCCGCGUGAGGGAGGACGGCCUGUGGGUUGUAAACCUCUUUUCUCAGGGAAGAAGACCUGACGGUACCUGAGGAAUCAGCAUCGGCUAACUCCGUGCCAGCAGCCGCGGUAAGACGGAGGAUGCAAGCGUUAUCCGGAAUUAUUGGGCGUAAAGCGUCCGCAGGUGGCUCUUCAAGUCUGCUGUCAAAGACCAGAGCUCAACUCUGGGCAGGCCGGUGGAAACUGGGGAGCUAGAGUACGGUAGGGGUAGAGGGAAUUCCCAGUGUAGCGGUGAAAUGCGUAGAGAUUGGGAAGAACACCAGUGGCGAAGGCGCUCUACUGGACCGAAACUGACACUCAGGGACGAAAGCUAGGGGAGCGAAAGGGAUUAGAUACCCGUGUAGUCC